rnacentral:rRNA from 1 species
AGAGUUUGAUCCUGGCUCAGAUUGAACGCUGGCGGCAGGCCUAACACAUGCAAGUCGAGCGGUAGCACAGAGAGCUUGCUCUCGGGUGACGAGCGGCGGACGGGUGAGUAAUGUCUGGGAAACUGCCUGAUGGAGGGGGAUAACUACUGGAAACGGUAGCUAAUACCGCAUAACGUCGCAAGACCAAAGUGGGGGACCUUCGGGCCUCAUGCCAUCAGAUGUGCCCAGAUGGGAUUAGCUGGUAGGUGGGGUAACGGCUCACCUAGGCGACGAUCCCUAGCUGGUCUGAGAGGAUGACCAGCCACACUGGAACUGAGACACGGUCCAGACUCCUACGGGAGGCAGCAGUGGGGAAUAUUGCACAAUGGGCGCAAGCCUGAUGCAGCCAUGCCGCGUGUGUGAAGAAGGCCUUCGGGUUGUAAAGCACUUUCAGCGGGGAGGAAGGCGGUGAGGUUAAUAACCUCAUCGAUUGACGUUACCCGCAGAAGAAGCACCGGCUAACUCCGUGCCAGCAGCCGCGGUAAUACGGAGGGUGCAAGCGUUAAUCGGAAUUACUGGGCGUAAAGCGCACGCAGGCGGUCUGUCAAGUCGGAUGUGAAAUCCCCGGGCUCAACCUGGGAACUGCAUUCAAAACUGGCAGGCUAGAGCUUUGUAAAGGGGGGUAGAAUUCCAGGUGUACCGUUGAAAUGCGUAGAGAUCUGGAGGAAUACCGGUGGCGAAGGCGGCCCCCUGGACAAAGACUGACGCUCAGGUGCGAAAGCGUGGGGAGCAAACAGGAUUAGAUACCCUGGUAGUCCACGCUGUAAACGAUGUCGAUUUGGAGGUUGUGCCCUUGAGGCGUGGCUUCCGGAGCUAACGCGUUAAAUCGACCGCCUGGGGAGUACGGCCGCAAGGUUAAAACUCAAAUGAAUUGACGGGGGCCCGCACAAGCGGUGGAGCAUGUGGUUUAAUUCGAUGCAACGCGAAGAACCUUACCUGGUCUUGACAUCCACAGAACUUUCCAGAGAUGGAUUGGUGCCUUCGGGAACUGUGAGACAGGUGCUGCAUGGCUGUCGUCAGCUCGUGUUGUGAAAUGUUGGGUUAAGUCCCGCAACGAGCGCAACCCUUAUCCUUUGUUGCCAGCGGUUAGGCCGGGAACUCAAAGGAGACUGCCAGUGAUAAACUGGAGGAAGGUGGGGAUGACGUCAAGUCAUCAUGGCCCUUACGACCAGGGCUACACACGUGCUACAAUGGCAUAUACAAAGAGAAGCGACCUCGCGAGAGCAAGCGGACCUCAUAAAGUAUGUCGUAGUCCGGAUUGGAGUCUGCAACUCGACUCCAUGAAGUCGGAAUCGCUAGUAAUCGUAGAUCAGAAUGCUACGGUGAAUACGUUCCCGGGCCUUGUACACACCGCCCGUCACACCAUGGGAGUGGGUUGCAAAAGAAGUAGGUAGCUUAACCUUCGGGAGGGCGCUUACCACUUUGUGAUUCAUGACUGGGGUGAAGUCGUAACAAGGUAACCGUA